GAUGAGCCAGAAUUGGCACCUUGUCUUUAAAUAAGGUGCAAAAUGAUUUUAACUGAAGAGUUUGAUCAUGGCUCAGAUUGAACGCUGGCGGCAGGCUUAACACAUGCAAGUCGAGCGGAGAGAGGUAGCUUGCUACUGAUCUUAGCGGCGGACGGGUGAGUAAUGCUUAGGAAUCUGCCUGUUAGUGGGGGACAACAUCUCGAAAGGGAUGCUAAUACCGCAUACGUCCUACGGGAGAAAGCAGGGGAUCUUCGGACCUUGCGCUAAUAGAUGAGCCUAAGUCGGAUUAGCUAGUUGGUGGGGUAAAGGCCUACCAAGGCGACGAUCUGUAGCGGGUCUGAGAGGAUGAUCCGCCACACUGGGACUGAGACACGGCCCAGACUCCUACGGGAGGCAGCAGUGGGGAAUAUUGGACAAUGGGGGGAACCCUGAUCCAGCCAUGCCGCGUGUGUGAAGAAGGCCUUAUGGUUGUAAAGCACUUUAAGCGAGGAGGAGGCUACUUUAGAUAAUACCUAGAGAUAGUGGACGUUACUCGCAGAAUAAGCACCGGCUAACUCUGUGCCAGCAGCCGCGGUAAUACAGAGGGUGCAAGCGUUAAUCGGAUUUACUGGGCGUAAAGCGCGCGUAGGCGGCUAAUUAAGUCAAAUGUGAAAUCCCCGAGCUUAACUUGGGAAUUGCAUUCGAUACUGGUUAGCUAGAGUGUGGGAGAGGAUGGUAGAAUUCCAGGUGUAGCGGUGAAAUGCGUAGAGAUCUGGAGGAAUACCGAUGGCGAAGGCAGCCAUCUGGCCUAACACUGACGCUGAGGUGCGAAAGCAUGGGGAGCAAACAGGAUUAGAUACCCUGGUAGUCCAUGCCGUAAACGAUGUCUACUAGCCGUUGGGGCCUUUGAGGCUUUAGUGGCGCAGCUAACGCGAUAAGUAGACCGCCUGGGGAGUACGGUCGCAAGACUAAAACUCAAAUGAAUUGACGGGGGCCCGCACAAGCGGUGGAGCAUGUGGUUUAAUUCGAUGCAACGCGAAGAACCUUACCUGGCCUUGACAUAGUAAGAACUUUCCAGAGAUGGAUUGGUGCCUUCGGGAACUUACAUACAGGUGCUGCAUGGCUGUCGUCAGCUCGUGUCGUGAGAUGUUGGGUUAAGUCCCGCAACGAGCGCAACCCUUUUCCUUAUUUGCCAGCGAGUAAUGUCGGGAACUUUAAGGAUACUGCCAGUGACAAACUGGAGGAAGGCGGGGACGACGUCAAGUCAUCAUGGCCCUUACGGCCAGGGCUACACACGUGCUACAAUGGUCGGUACAAAGGGUUGCUACACAGCGAUGUGAUGCUAAUCUCAAAAAGCCGAUCGUAGUCCGGAUUGGAGUCUGCAACUCGACUCCAUGAAGUCGGAAUCGCUAGUAAUCGCGGAUCAGAAUGCCGCGGUGAAUACGUUCCCGGGCCUUGUACACACCGCCCGUCACACCAUGGGAGUUUGUUGCACCAGAAGUAGCUAGCCUAACUGCAAAGAGGGCGGUUACCACGGUGUGGCCGAUGACUGGGGUGAAGUCGUAACAAGGUAGCCGUAGGGGAACCUGCGGCUGGAUCACCUCCUUAA
rnacentral:rRNA from 1 species